rnacentral:rRNA from 1 species
GACGAACGCUGGCGGCGUGCUUAACACAUGCGAGUCGAACGGAAAGGCCUGCUUUCCCUUGUGGAUUGCGGGUACUCGAGUGGCGAACGGGUGAGUAACACGUGAGUGAUCUGCCCCCAACUUGGGUAUAAGCCUGGGAAACUGGGUCUAAUUCCCGAUAGGACUGCAGGGUGGUGCCUGUGGUGGAAAACGAUUUUCUAGUGGUUGGGGAUGAGCUCGCGGCCUAUCAGCUUGUUGGUGGGGUAAUGGCCUACCAAGGCGGCGACGGGUAGCCGGCCUGAGGGGGUGGACGGCCACAUUGGGACUGAGAUACGGCCCAGACUCCUACGGGAGGCAGCAGUGGGGAAUAUUGCACAAUGGGCGGAAGCCUGAUGCAGCGACGCCGCGUGGGGGAUGACGGCCUUCGGGUUGUAAACUCCUUUCGACCGCGAGGAAGCCACCUGGUUGGAAGGGUGGUGACGGUAGUGGUAGAAGAAGCACCGGCUAACUACGUG